rnacentral:misc_RNA from 1 species
GAUGAAGAACGCAGCGAAAUGCGAUAAGUAAUGCGAAUUGCAGAAUUCAGUGAGUCAUCGAAUCUUUGAACGCACAUUGCGCCCUGUGGUAUUCCGCAGGGCAUGCCUGUUCGAGCGUCAUUUCAACCCUCAAGCCCCGCUUGGUGUUGGGCCCCGCCCGCUGUGGCCGGCCCUAAAGACAGUGGCGGCGCCGCCUGGCCCUCAGCGUAGUACAUCUCUCGCUCCAGGGUCCGGUGGCCGCCUGCCAGAACCCCCCAACUCUGUGGUUGACCUCGGAUCAGGUAGGGAUACCCGCUGAACUUAAGCAUAUCAAUAAGCGAGGA